AGCAGACAUGGAGCAGCACAAAGGCGGUGUCUUUGGGGAACUUGUGCAGCGCCCACAGCACCAUCGCCUUGGACCCGCCCACCGCCACGUACACCUGCUCGCCGCCGCCGGAGGAGGAGGGGGAGGAUAGCUCCGACGAGUCUCCUGCUUGCGAGCCGCCGGCGGCGUCCAUGGCAGCUAGCUAGUUAGCUGUGUCGUUCUCUCUUGCUAGUUGGCCAGCAGCUCAGAUUGACUCGUUAUGGUAGGCUGGAAGCUGUACACACACACCUGCUGCCGGCUUGACUUGUUGCUGCCAAGAGUUGCCCAGCAGUUUCCAUGGCAUGGCAGGGGCUAGCUGUGCUUGCCUUUCUGAUGGACGACUUGUGCAAGUUCUCUGCUUUGUGCACGAGUGACUUCACUUCACUUCCCUACUGUAAGUCUUCUUCUUUACUCCUCUCCUACGGUUUUCAUGAUCGCACACCACCUGUUUGUUGGAUUGCCCAGCCACAUGCUCUCGAUCAACUCAAGGAAGACGGCGCAACAAAGUCUAGUGCUUUUCUUAUGACACGGGUUGCCGCUCUCAUCGCCAUGAUCUGACGGUUGUCUACUCUAGUGGAAUUAUCAAGUCAUACCAGUAAAGAUCGAACAUUCAUGGUUAACUGAUGAAGUAAAACACAUCACCUUUUCAUUCAGUUUGAAUACACACGUCCUCUUGGAGAGUUACAUGGUUGGAUCGGCAACGGCGGCACAUUAAUUUGACUAGACUGUUCAGGAAAAACCUGAGAGUUUGGAGCAUUAAUUUGGAAGCUGAUCUUAAGAAAAAGAUACGUGAUCUCCUUGUGGAGUUUGACGUUCUUUCUGAGGAAAAUAAUUUUAGAUGAUGAUAGAAAAUGUAUGAAUGAUAUUUAAAAGGAAUUGGAUUAUAUUCGGAAAAAAGAGGAAACCGCCUUAUGGCAAAGAUCUAUGGAUAGGAAAAUUGUGUUGGGGGGUAGGAAUAAUUUUUAUUUCCAUGGGUUAGCUAAUCAACAUCAUAGAAUAAACCAUCUGGAUGUGCUGAUUGGUGAUGACAGCUCUGUCUACUCUACCCAUGAAAUGUUGGAAGUUGCUACUUCUUUUUACAAAAAUCUUUUUGGCUUUGAAGUUAAAGAUAAUAUUCAUUUAGGACAUGAUUUUUGGUCUGACUCUGAUCUGGUUAUAGAUGAGGAAAAUGAUAAGUUGCAACAACCUUUAUCUGAAGAAGGUUAUUAACGCUGAUAUGAGAGCAGACUCGAGAGAUAGGUCUAAGGGCAAAGCCAGCGCGGUUCCUCAAAUCUGCCUCAAAUGUCCAGACCAGAUGGUUCAAACACUUUUAGCCAUCCAAGCUAGUCACGAGGACAUUUGCUGGAUAUGGUUGGAUGGCCUUCGCCCGGCCGACAAGAACAUUUGAGGACAUAAAUUUGGUGACCGGUGUUUGAGAUGCCCUAAUGCUUAUCUCUUGCUUUUAGGGUAUAUAGGAUGCCGCAACACCUUAAUGAUUACAUUUCCACCUAGCAUGUUCCUGUAAUUCUCCCUUUGUCCAUUUGUGCUUGUGAAACACCCUAUUAUGUAAAUGUCAGAAUUUCUGGGAUAUCAUCAAGUCCGAUCUUUUGAA